rnacentral:rRNA from 1 species
GAUGAACGCUGGCGGCGUGCCUAAUACAUGCAAGUCGAGCGAACAGACGAGGAGCUUGCUCCUCUGACGUUAGCGGCGGACGGGUGAGUAACACGUGGAUAACCUACCUAUAAGACUGGGAUAACUUCGGGAAACCGGAGCUAAUACCGGAUAAUAUAUUGAACCGCAUGGUUCAAUAGUGAAAGACGGUUUUGCUGUCACUUAUAGCUGGAUCCGCGCCGCAUUAGCUAGUCGGUAAGGUAACGGCUUACCAAGGCAACGAUGCGUAGCCGACCUGAGAGGGUGAUCGGCCACACUGGAACUGAGACACGGUCCAGACUCCUACGGGAGGCAGCAGUAGGGAAUCUUCCGCAAUGGGCGAAAGCCUGACGGAGCAACGCCGCGUGAGUGAUGAAGGUCUUCGGAUCGUAAAACUCUGUUAUUAGGGAAGAACAAAUGUGUAAGUAACUAUGCACGUCUUGACGGUACCUAAUCAGAAAGCCACGGCUAACUACGUG